UAUGGCAGACUACAUGUGAUGGAUUUAAACCCCAUUUAUAAAGGAAU
rnacentral:tRNA from 1 species